rnacentral:rRNA from 1 species
UACGUAGGGUGCAAGCGUUAAUCGGAAUUACUGGGCGUAAAGCGUGCGCAGGCGGUUUUGUAAGACUGUCGGGAAAUCCCCGGGCUCAACCUGGGAAUGGCGAUGGUGACUGCAAGGCUAGAGUUUGGCAGAGGGGGGUAGAAUUCCACGUGUAGCAGUGAAAUGCGUAGAUAUGUGGAGGAACACCGAUGGCGAAGGCAGCCCCCUGGGUCAAAACUGACGCUCAUGCACGAAAGCGUGGGGAGCAAACAGG